UAAUAUAAUUGACUAAGAUCUCGUAUAAUCCCGGGAAUAUGGCUCGGGAGUCUCUACCAGGCAACCGUAAAUUGCCUGACUACGAGCGGAAGCGCUCCUCAG
rnacentral:ncRNA from 2 species